rnacentral:lncRNA from 9 species
GUUCUUGGUGUGGAAAAAAGCACCAAACAAUUCAAUACUCAAGCAGUUACCUUUCUGGGGGAGGAGAAUAGGAGUGAAGAACUGGGAGAAGAGGAGUUCCCAUUGUGGCGCAGCAGAAAGGAAUCAGACUAGGAACCAUGAGGCUUCGGGUUCAAUCCCUGGCCCCACUCAGUGGGUUAAGGAUCCGACAUUGCCGUGAACUGUGGUGUAGGUCACAGAUGCAGCUCAGAUCCUGCACUGCCAUGGCUGUGGUGUGGGCCGGCAUCUGUAGCUCCGAUUUGACCCCUAGCCUGGGAACUUCCAUGUGCUGUAGGUGCAGCCCUAAAAAGACAAGAGACAAAAAAAAAAAAAAAAAAAAAAAAAAAAACAGGGAGAAGAAAACUCAGAGUCUGGCAUGGACUGAAAGUGACUGUGCUAAAAAUGGCUAAUAUCUAUAUGGCUUUUACAUUAGGCUUUGUUCUUAGUGCUUUAUAUACAUUAACCCAUUGGACUCCAUGAAAUAGUACUAUUACUCCUAUUUUUCAGAAAGAGAAAAUUGAGACACAGACAAGUUUAAGUAAUUUCCCUAAGGGCAUGGCACUGGUAAGUGGCAAAGGUGAAAUAUGAACACAGACAGGCAGCUCCACAAUCUGUAUAUAUUACUGUUGUCCAUGCUGCUGUCCACAAGAGGAUAAGAUUAUCUCAACUCUGAUACCUAAUAAAAGUCUAUCAACUGCUCACUCGUUAUCUCUACCUAGAUGACUAAGAGACAUCCCAAAUAUACCAUGUCUAAGCCAGAACAAGAUUUUCCAUCCACUAGUAAAUCAACACCAAGAGUCAACUCUCCAUUCCCUCUAUAACCUCGCAUAUCAAAUCCAUCAACAACUUAUCAAUCCUAGCUCCACCAUAUAUCCCAACUUGACCAUGGACCAUAUUUACUGUUGCCCCCCCCAAUCCAAACAACCUGUGCUUCUGCUAUAACAGCCUCCCAACUUGUCUCCCUGUUUCUCACUUGCCCACCUGCAGUUCAUGCUCCACAGAGCAGUUUUUUUUUUUUAGAAAGCAAAUAUUACUUGCUGCUUUUAUUAUUUAUUCCAAUAGCUGCCCAUUGCAUUUAGACUCUUUACUGUGAACUUCAAAACCACGCAUAACCUGCCCAUUAUUACUUCUCAAACUUUAUCUCCUGUUACUUUUCUUCUCGUUCUUAAGCAUCUUAUGUAUUUGGGCUAUUCAGAAUAUAUAACAAGUUUCCUUGACCUUCAUUUUUGUUUUGAAAAUAAAAGAUAGGGUCAAAAUAUUUUAGGAAGGAUGCAUUUUUCUCUGUCUUGGGGAGGUAGUCAUGUAAAGUAACAUAUGAACUGACCACUCCCCAACUCAGUUGUCAUCCACUUUCUUAGUCCUAAAUUGGCCUAGGCAGCAACCAUCAAAGUCACGGAAGAACUGGAGAUUUCGAGGUAGCAAAGAUGACAGGGAGCAAAACAAGGAAGAUUGUCAUAAGAGAAGGAAGGGAGAAAAAGGUGGGAAGGAGAGGUUUCACCACCCACUGCUUCACACUGGGGGACAGUUUGGAUUUAUUCAGCAUAUACCCAUUUCCUCUUUAACCCUGGACAGAGGAUACAUCUUUGCCCAUUGUUUUGGGGCUCAGCCAAAACUUGCUUUCACCAAUAGAAUAUUAAAAGAUGUGAGACAAGCAAAGACCUUAAACAUGUCUGUAUAGCUUCUUUUGGCUCUUUGGUGAUCAUAUUAAGAAGAACAUGUCUUAGGGAACCACAUCCCCUUGAGUUUGUAACCAGAAUGAACGCAAGUGGAGCAGUCGUGAAACCUGUCUGCAGCCUGAAGUAGGCCACCUGGCCAAGCCCAUAUAGUUGACCUCUAGACUUGUGAGCAUGAAAAGAAACUCUUGUUAUAAGCAACUGAAUUUGAGGUAGUUUGUUAUAUAGUAUUAUUUUGGCAUAGUUGACAAAUACAAUGACAACAAUUGGUGCUAUAUAUACCAUUGUGAUAUGGUGAUUUAUAAUGUGAAUUUGGUUUCUGUCCUCAAUUCUGACACAGAGGUCUUAAAAUUCUUGGAUUUUCCUAAGUAAUAAGAGCAAUGCUUGAUAUUCAUAACAAACCCCUUUCAACCAUACAUGAGUUUAUGUUAAUGAGAUAAUUUUAGGAAGAAGUUUAGGGGGAGGUUUAUUGUCAGGGGAAUCAACCUUAAUUAGAAGGUUGUAAUUUCACCCCACCCCUGGGGAGAGAAGGGGCUUGGAGACUGAGUUCCAUCACCAGUGACCAAUGAUUGAACUAUUCCUGCCUGUGUAACAAAGCCUCUGUAAAAGCUCAAAAGAACAGAGUUCAGAGAGCUUCUGAGUUGGUGAAUACAUGGAGAUGUCAGGAAAGUGGUACACCCAGAAAAGGCAUGGAGGCUCCACAACCCUUCCCACAUACCUUGGCUCUAGAUAUCUCUUCCAUCUGGCUAUCUCUGAGUUAUAUCCUUUUAUAAUAAACCAGUGCUCUAGUAAGUAAAUUAUUCCCUUGAAUUCUAUGAAUCACUCUAGCAAAUUAAUCAGACCUGAGGAGCAUGUCGUGGUAGCCUCCAGUCAAGAGCCAGGUGGUCAGAAGCGCAGGUAACAAUCUGGACUUGUGAUUGGCAGCUAAAGGGGACGGGCAGUCUUGUAGGACUAAGGUCUUAACUUGUGGGAUCUGACACUACCUGUGACAGAAAUAAAACAAGAGAAGUGGAAGCAUGACUUCUCAGAGUAUAAUUUUUCAGUUAGUUUUGACUUUUGAACAUUUUAUACACUGAGCAAUGCAACCAGAGUCAAAAGAAAAAAGCAAACCCUAAAAGUGAAAGCAAAUAGGGAAAAAAAAGGACCCUAAUGAUACCAAAUUGUGAAAGUGGCCAUAUAGAGAAAAGAGUUGCUUCAAAUGACUUUUGAACACAAUAUGAAGAUUGUGCAAUCUUUAUGGAAUAUAUUUAAAGGAAAAAGGACUAGAAAAAAAUGUAAAUAUUUUCGCAUUUAUAGAAACUGAGAAUUUUGGUUUUAGAGAAAUAGAAUCAUGAAUGCCUCACCUAUCACUAAUGCUAUAAAGUGUUGAAAUAAUAAUACAUUGUAUUAUUAAAAUGAUACUAUCAAAUC